rnacentral:rRNA from 1 species
UACGUAGGGCGCGAGCGUUAUCCGGAAUUAUUGGGCGUAAAGAGCUCGUAGGCGGUUUGUCACGUCUGCUGUGAAAACCGGAGGCUCAACCUCCAGCCUGCAGUGGGUACGGGCAGACUAGAGUGCGGUAGGGGAGAUUGGAAUUCCUGGUGUAGCGGUGAAAUGCGCAGAUAUCAGGAAGAACACCCGUGGCGAAGGCGGUUCUCUGGGACGGUACUGACGCUGAGACGCGAAAGCGUGGGGAGCGAACAGG